rnacentral:rRNA from 1 species
GSUGRSGGMGCUACCAUGCAAGUCGAGCGGUAACAGAUCUAGCUUGCUACAUGCUGACGAGCGGCGGACGGGUGAGUAAUGCAUAGGAAUCUGCCCGAUAGUGGGGGAUAACCUGGGGAAACCCAGGCUAAUACCGCAUACGUCCUACGGGAGAAAGGGGGCUYCGGCUCCCGCUAUCGGAUGAGCCUAUGUCGGAUUAGCUGGUUGGUGAGGUAAWGGCUCACCAAGGCGACGAUCCGUAGCUGGUCUGAGAGGAUGAUCAGCCACAUCGGGACUGAGACACGGCCCGAACUCCUACGGGAGGCAGCAGUGGGGAAUAUUGGACAAUGGGGGSAACCCUGAUCCAGCCAUGCCGCGUGUGUGAAGAAGGCCCUCGGGUUGUAAAGCACUUUCAGUGAGGAAGAACGCCUGGUGGUUAAUACCCAUCAGGAAAGACAUCACUCACAGAAGAAGCACCGGCUAACUCCGUGCCAGCAGCCGCGGUG